rnacentral:rRNA from 1 species
CGGGACGGGUGAGUAAUGUCUGGGAAACUGCCUGAUGGAGGGGGAUAACUGCUGGAAACGGUAGCUAAUACCGCAUAACGUCGCAAGACCAAAAAGGGGGACCUUCGGGCCUCUUGCCAUCGGAUGUGCCCAGAUGGGAUUAGCUAGUAGGUGGGGUAACGGCUCACCUAGGCGACGAUCCCUAGCUGGUCUGAGAGGAUGACCAGCCACACUGGAACUGAGACACGGUCCAG